GACGUAGGGCGCGAGCGUUGUCCGGAUUUAUUGGGCGUAAAGAGCUCGUAGGCGGCUUGUCGCGUCGACUGUGAAAACCCGCGGCUCAACCGCGGGCCUGCAGCCGAUACGGGCAGGCUAGAGUUCGGUAGGGGAGACUGGAAUUCCUGGUGUAGCGGUGAAAUGCGUAGAUAUCGGGAGGAACACCAGUGGCGAAGGCGACUACCUGCCUGUUCUUGACGCUGAGGCGCGAAAGCUAGGGGAGCAAACGGGG
rnacentral:rRNA from 1 species